rnacentral:rRNA from 1 species
GACGAACGCUGGCGGCGUGCUUAACACAUGCAAGUCGAACGGAAAGGCCCUGCUUUUGUGGGGUGCUCGAGUGGCGAACGGGUGAGUAACACGUGAGUAACCUGCCCUUGACUUUGGGAUAACUUCAGGAAACUGGGGCUAAUAACGGAUAGGAGCUCCUGCUGCAUGGUGGGGGUUGGAAAGUUUCGGCGGUUGGGGAUGGACUCGCGGCUUAUCAGCUUGUUGGUGGGGUAGUGGCUUACCAAGGCUUUGACGGGUAGCCGGCCUGAGAGGGUGACCGGCCACAUUGGACUGAGAUACGGCCCAGACUCCUACGGGAGGCAGCAGUGGGGAAUAUUGCACAAUGGGCGGAAGCCUGAUGCAGCAACGCCGCGUGCGGGAUGACGGCCUUCGGGUUGUAAACCGCUUUCGCCUGUGACGAAGCGUGAGUGACGGUAAUGUGUAAAGAAGCACCGGCUAACUACGUG